AACGAACGCUGGCGGCAUGCCUAACACAUGCAAGUCGAACGAGACCUUCGGGUCUAGUGGCGCAUGGGUGCGUAACGCGUGGGAACCUGCCCUUAGGUUCGGAAUAACUCCCCGAAAGGGGUGCUAAUACCGGAUAAUGUCUUCGGACCAAAGAUUUAUCGCCUUUGGAUGGGCCCGCGUUGGAUUAGCUAGUUGGUAGGGUAAAAGCCUACCAAGGCGACGAUCCAUAGCUGGUCUGAGAGGAUGAUCAGCCACACUGGGACUGAGACACGGCCCAGACUCCUACGGGAGGCAGCAGUGGGGAAUAUUGGGCAAUGGGCGAAAGCCUGAUCCAGCAAUGCCGCGUGAGUGAUGAAGGCCUUAGGGUUGUAAAGCUCUUUUACCCGGGAUGAUAAUGACAGUACCGGGAGAAUAAGCUCCGGCUAACUCCGUG
rnacentral:rRNA from 1 species